GGAGGCGCGGGGGGAGGCCGCCGGGCUCGCCCAUGGGGGCGCAGGCGCGGCGGGGCGGGUGCCCGCGGCGCGGCGGGAGCGGCUCCCCGGCGCCCCUUCGGCGAGGGCCGCCCCCCGGGCGCCGCGGCGCGCGCCACCGCUCCUCUCCCCGCCGCCGCCCGGCCGCCGCCGCGCGGGCCCCCCGAAAAGGGAGAUGGAGCCGGCGCGCUCCCCCCCGCUCUCCCCCCCCCCCCCGCCUCCUCCUCCUCCACGCUCCCCGGCACAGGCGCGCCCUGCUCGCACCGCGCAUGCACGUACCCCCGCCCCCGGUGCGCGCGCGCGCACUGAGUGCUCGUGCAGGAGGCGGCGGUGACGGCCGGAGAGACGCGCGCAGACCCCCCCCCCCAGCCCCCCUCCCCAAAUUCCCCCCUCCUCCCUCCCUCCCUUCCCCCCCCCCCUCCCCGGCCCCCUCCCGCGCGGCGGCAGCGGCGGCAGCGGCAGCCCCCCGCGCUCCCCGGGAAGUGCGGUUCCGCGCGCGCGGGUGGCAGGCUGAAGGUGGCCCAUUGUAAGGACUAAUCAUCUGUCAAAUACUUAAUCAUCAUUUGUUCAGAAAAUUUCCUGCAUUGUUCAUGGAGUUUUUCAUCAGUAUGUCUGAAACCAUUAAAUAUAAUGACGACGAUCACAAAACUGUGUUCCUGAAAACAUUAAAUGAACAACGUUUGGAAGGAGAAUUUUGUGACAUAGCUAUCGUGGUUGAAGAUGUUAAAUUCAGAGCACAUAGGUGCGUGCUUGCUGCCUGCAGUACCUACUUCAAAAAGCUUUUCAAAAAACUGGAAGUUGAUAGUUCAUCAGUAAUAGAAAUAGAUUUUCUUCGUUCUGAUAUUUUUGAGGAAGUUCUCAAUUACAUGUAUACUGCAAAGAUUUCUGUUAAGAAAGAGGAUGUAAAUUUGAUGAUGUCUUCAGGCCAGAUUCUCGGUAUUCGAUUUCUGGAUAAACUGUGCUCUCAAAAACGUGAUGUAUCUAGUCCUGAAGAAAACACACAGUCCAAGAGCAAGUACUGUCUAAAAAUAAACCGUCCUAUGGGGGAAGCUAAUGAUACCCAAGAUGAUGAGGUGGAAGAAAUUGGAGAUCAUGAUGACAGUCCAUCAGAUGUGACGGUGGAAGGAACUCCCCCAAGUCAGGAAGAUGGGAAAUCACCUACCACUACCCUGAGAGUGCAAGAGGCGAUUCUGAAAGAGUUGGGAAGUGAAGAAGUUCGAAAAGUAAACUGCUAUGGCCAAGAAGUAGAGCCUAUGGAAACAACUGAAUCAAAAGACUUAGGAUCUCAGACCCCUCAGGCUUUGACAUUUAAUGAUGGCAUAAGUGAAGUGAAAGAUGAACAGACACCAGGCUGGACCACAGCAGCUGGGGAUAUGAAGUUUGAGUAUUUGCUUUAUGGUCACAGGGAACACAUUGUAUGUCAGGCUUGUGGUAAGACCUUUUCUGAUGAAGCGCGAUUGAGAAAACAUGAAAAGCUACACACUGCUGAUAGACCAUUUGUUUGUGAAAUGUGUACAAAGGGCUUUACCACCCAAGCUCAUUUGAAAGAGCACCUGAAAAUACACACAGGUUACAAGCCUUACAGUUGCGAGGUAUGUGGAAAGUCUUUUAUUCGUGCACCGGAUCUAAAAAAGCACGAAAGGGUUCACAGUAAUGAGAGGCCAUUUGCAUGCCAUAUGUGUGAUAAAGCUUUCAAGCACAAGUCCCACCUCAAAGACCAUGAAAGAAGACAUCGAGGAGAGAAACCUUUUGUCUGCAGUUCCUGCACUAAAGCAUUUGCUAAAGCAUCUGAUCUAAAAAGACAUGAGAACAAUAUGCACAGUGAAAGAAAACAAGUUACUACAGCCAAUUCCAUCCAAAGUGAAACAGAACAGUUACAGGCAGCAGCUAUGGCUGCUGAAGCAGAGCAGCAAUUAGAAACUAUAGCUUGUAGUUAAAAGCAGGAACUUUAUCAGAAGUAAUAUAAGAAAUUAAAUUGAAAAAAAAUCUCUUGUUGGUAUACGUUUAGACUGAGAAUUAUCUUUUCAAGAAAACAUAUUUUUAGAGGAAUUGAAUGUUACAUAGGAACACAUAGCAUUGCUUGGUUAGGUAUUUUAAAAUAUUUCAGAGAUGGGUAUUCUUUGAAUAUGAAAUAGUUUUGUUGUCAUUAGCAGUAUAAUGCACUAAUACCUGAUUUAAUUUGAGAAUAUGAUCAAGUUCUCUAUAAAACAGGAAUCAUCACCAGCUGAUGUUUUGUUUCAUCCAGUAUGGAAUACUGCAUACAAUGUCGACAUCGAAAUCAGUGAGUUUUGUUUGAAAACGCUGAGAUCUCAGAAAAUAACAAACACGGAAAGGAAAUACUUGGUUUUCAUAAUUGUGAAGGUGUUAUACCUACAGUUUUUGAGAAACAGAUGUUGAUUCCCUAAGCUUUGUAAUUCCCCCUUUUUUCACCUAAUGUAGGUGCUAGAGGUUGGUACAACAGAGUGUAAGGGGGGACGGUGAUCAAAAUGAAAUUGCUUCUUAUUCCAUUCCCUCAGAUAUCCUCUUAUUUUAAUCAAGGUGGCAAGUUUAAUGAAAUACUUGCUUUCCUGAAAAAACUGCAUUAUUCACAGUGGUCCUGGCUGCCAAAGCAGAAGGGUCGUGGCAUUCACCAAUCCCUUCUGUGGGGAAAAGAGUCUGCCUCGUUUGUUUCUGUGUUCACUCUUAUGCAGGCCCCUGAAGAUGGGACAGAGCCACACAGGAAAAAGGGUGCAGCAUGGAGAAGGAGGCAUGUUCCUUACUCUGACCCGGUAGAAAUUAGUUAAAGCUAAUACAGCCUGAGGCUGUAGUUUUUAUUUUGCAGCUUUCAGUUCACCUAACCUAGCACAGGUAAGGCAAAGGAGUGUGUCUGGCAGUGCAGGCGUAUUAGCUGCACUGGUGAGUGACCGGGUGUCACUGCCAGACCUCUGGAGUUGCAGAGCACAGCCACGGGCUAUCGCAUAACUGCCCGCAGUGGUCAGGCUGGGUUUUGUGUCCUAGCUGGUCAUAUCAGCUAAUAGGUCCCGUUCAAGUUUAAAAACUUAGGCCUUCUGACACACCACCUCAGCAAGAGGGAGACUUCAGUGAGUGACUUCAGUCAUAAUUGAACCAGAAUCAGUGUUCACUAAUAGUCUGUUACUUAGAGUUGCCCGUUUUUUUUUUCCAGAUGAGCUGGGGUAGAUGCUGCUAAUUUAACUGUUAACUCACAGAGUCAACAAAGUGGUCUUUGGAUUGCAGUCUGCUACGUGUAGUCAACACGGGAAGACUCAGUAACAGUGACAGGGAUGAAGGCCUAGAAUACUUUAGCUUAAAGUUUUGGAAAAGGUUUCGGAAAGGAAGUGUGGAGGUAACCUUAGGUGUACGUUAUUGUUAAUGUGUUCUAGGUUAAUCCUUUUCAUUGUGUACAUUUUGAAGGGCUGUUAGCUUAUAUGUUUUGGGGGUCUGUCUGUAAAGUUCAGGUAAAUCUGCAUCUUAAGAUGCUACUGCUCCCAGCUCUCUCCUGUCUUAUGCCAGCAGAUGCCAUGUACAGAAGCAGAUGUACAUCAGCUCCAGGCCACAGAGGUUUUCAAGCAUGAUAAACCGUAAGCUAUGAGCUCUGUUGAUUGAGGAAUGGGCAAAUUUUUAUUUUUACUGUUAAAAGAAUGGCAACUUCUUUCAGAGCAUAUGAGAGAGUGGAUGAGAUUCUGUCCAAUUAAUGGGAAUUUUGCUGUUGACUUUAUUGGGGCCAGACUAGCCUAAUAUUCCUAAGAGGUUUUCCAACAGUGGGCAAAUUAGCUAAUUGGGGUGUGUGCAGGAAUGACAGAAUGCUAUACAAACAUAGAUGGCUAAAACAUUAGAUAUGGAUUAAUUGUUUUUCUCAGAAUUAAGUAGCAAAAAUUAGCCCUAAACAUACACUUCUUCAUCUAUGGUUUGUGAAAUCGGAGUCAGUUAUGUCUUUAAUAUACAUAGGAUAGCAAAAACUUGGUUACUCUUUUUUGCUUAUACUGAAUGUCUGUCCAUGUCGCGAUGUUAGAUGACCAAGUGGCUUCAGUCGAACUCUCCAUCUAUUGGAAUUAAGUAUACGAAUAGGUGUUUGCGUGACCAGGGCUUACAUGUAUAUAAUGCAGCAACACGCUAACUGAUGUGAAAUGAGGUUCUUCUGGUGACCCAGAUGGGUGUAGAAAGUCAACACCAGUUGAGACACUAAACCAAAGUCUUAGUUGCAAAAAGAUCUAAAUACUAAGGAAGUAUAACCAUUUAGUUAAAAGGCUUUGUGCUUUAUAAGACUAAAUAACUUAGAGUGAAAAGAAAUAUUUGAAAUAAGAACUUUGCUAUUCUGUGAUCUUAACUGUGUGUUCUUAAAAAUAGUGUGGGUUUUUUGUAAAGAGAAAAAGGAACAAAGAGAACACAUUUUGAACUCUGGUAUCUGAUUAAUUUCUGAUCCAGAUUGUGUUAGCCAUGGGUAUGCUGCUGGUUAUUUGGCACAACUCAGUUUGGAAACUGUAAAAGUUCAGAAAAGAAUACCUUCCAGCCCUUCUCCAUUCCACACCGGCUCUUCUACCCACUCUUCUUAGGAAUAUUUAAACAAAUGUUAGAAAAUGAAACAAUUCACAGUGGAGUACUUGUGUUUUCAUUUUUCUGCUUUAAUCUUUUAAGAAGGUUUAGACCUGGAGAUCAGUUUUAAAGAUGGUUGUGUGAAAGAAAAUGCCUCAUGCUGACUUCAGUAGCAAAAGUUUGAGGAGUUCAGUUUCUGUUUGUUCAUGUAAGCUACAGAAUACAAAAUACUUCUCAAAGUCUUGCCCUUUAGGUACCCAAACUGGGGCUCUCUUGAAGAUUGGGCCCCAAUUUUCUAAUCUAAUUGUCUUCAUGAUUCCACUGAGUAAGGAUAUUUAAAUUAAUAGAGUUGGGUGAGAUAUAGAAUAGAAUAUCAGAUGAUACCAGAAAGUCUACCCUAAGCUUAGAAUAUAUUUUUAGGGACAGAUUAUCUAUUAUUAAGUCUUUUAUCAAUUUAGACACCUCUUUGUCUUACAGAAGAGACAAAGCAUUUCUGAAACAAAGUACAUCUACCACUAACAACAUAUGACUUUUCUAAACGUAAACAUUUACAGAUUGGUACAGAAUAGGAUAAUUCUAGCUAGAAGGGUCAAGGGUACCAAAAGCAGUGCUUACAGGAACAAACCACUGUAGUGGCAUUGCAGAUGGUUCAGACAAGAGGAUGUAGUAUGGCAGAACUCUACUCUGAGAACAAAUACUCCCCUCUACUCUAGAAAUUGGAAGUGGUGCUGAUAUGAGAGCCCGUGUAACUUCAGGCAGGAGUUCCUCUUCAAGGGAAGUUACCAGUUAACCGUGGAUGAUUUACGUAUGGUUUGUACUCAUCAUCAGCAUAACUGGGGUUUACAGAGUAGAGUUUUCAGGACUCUGUCUUUAAAGAUACUAGUUAUUCUAUUUUGCAUACUGUCAAAGCUUGUGUACAGGUUUCUGUUGUGUUUAAGGUUGCAUGGGCAAAGUUAGGGAGAAGAGUUGGAGUUGAAGCAAGAAUGUACUGUCAAAAAUGUUCUAAACAUUGCAUUUAUUAAACUUUAAUACAAAUUAAAUGCAAAUUUGUAUUUAAUGUAUUUAGGGUACACUAUAUUUAAGAACAUGUUUUCAUUGCUUACAUCAGUAGCCUCAGAUGAUAAUUUGUUGAUUUGUUUUCAUUACCUUAACCUCUAGCAUUUAGAAUCAGUGUAUAGAUUUAUUUUUCCUGGGUAUGAAAGCCACACAGUAUCCGUUCAUGUAGCUCUAUUAUGCCAGAAAUAUCUAAUUAUACUGGCUGUCUGUAUCUAAGCAGCAUUUAACACUUUUUUCUUCACACUCGGGGAUCCAUCUUCUGUGUAUCCCAAAUAAACGCAUUGUCAUUCCCCCAUUUUCUGCCACAAAAUAACUGAAGUUUUCAUGAGAUCUGCUUAGGACACAAAGGAAUGUUUUCUUAGAUAGCAGUAGGAUUUGAUCUGAUGACUUUGCAAAGAUGUAAAACGAAUACAAAGUGGCUUCUUCUGUAUGGAAAGAUAGUUUACAAUGGAAUGUUUCUCUAUGUUUAUUUCAAAACUUAAGCAUUGUUUUUUACUUGUUUCUGUUCUGCUAUAAAGCUUGUUUUUUGAGAAAAGACUAUGCUUCUAAAGACAGCAAAGUAGACUUUGUAUAGUAAAGCUUAAUUCUGCUGAAAGGGUGAGUCUUGUUCCUUUUCCCCUCCUUUACUGCUCACAAAGCUGUCUGGUGAACUUCUGUGUCAAUGCAAGGUAACUGAUGAAGGUAUUCAGGCAGGAGCAGGGAUGAGGGUAAACAGGGAAGAGGAGGGAGCAGGACCUUCUCAUUUCAGCUAUAGCGAAAUGAGUGACAGCUCGCUCUUAGAUAGUCAUCCUCUUAAAGUUUGUCUUGUCUGGACAAAUCUCAUUCCUAAGUUAUGUUCUUUUAUUCUUGUUGAAUUCUUUCUUUUUGAAGGCUUUUCAGGGUGGAGAGGUUCAAGAGAAGCUGAAAAGAAUUUAAUCUAUUUCUCCAGUGUCUCUGCCAGAGUCAUUAGCCAAGGACUUGACUGGACUGAAUUCCUUGCUGUAUGAAAGAAUUCCUGUGUGACCUAAAGGCUCUGAAUUUUGGACUGUGACUCAUUCAUCUGUCUCAGUGAAGGGACUGGCUGUCUACAGAGGUGUGGCAGUUGCAUGUUCUUGCUGCUGGCUUUCAAGGUCUCAUGUCUUUGGCUGCUGAAAAUCUGUGCAUUGCUGUUCUUCUGGAGUACUCAUGGAAAGGUGAUUACUUCCAAAUGGUUCUUCCAGAAACACUUCGAUGACUACCUGUAAAAUGUUAGCUGUACAUUCUUGUUAACAAAACUUUGAAACAUUUAACAACUUCAGGUAAAAACAGCUUCUUCCUUGAAACACGUUUACUAAGCUUCUGAACCUAUGUGACCAAAUAAUUGUUUUCAGCUCCUUUAGAAUAAAGGGUUUACUUCAGAUGUAAAACCUUGGAAUUACAGACAGCAGUGGAUGAUUUAAAGUGACAUCAGUCAACUUGAUUUCUCUAACUGUCUAAAAAUGUUAAAGUUCUUAACAGAGUAUCCUCUAAGUCAAGACUUAAAAAAAAAAAAAAAAAAAAUCUUUGAAGAUACAUACUCAAGAAUUUUUAAGUCUUCUGAUGUUAUACAGAAACUAGUAAUUCCUCACUCAAGCAGUAAGAACUUGAAUGAUACACAAGGCAGGGACUGUAUAAUUACUGAUAAAAAUGUAUAAGUCUGUUUUUGUAAGUGCUUUCAUAUUUUCUAUUUCAUACAAGUUGAUGGUACAUCUUUAAAUGAACAAGGCUAUGUAUUGUAUUUUAAUGAUAUAACCUCAUUUUUACCUCUGUGCAUCAUUCUCAAGGGCUUUUUUUGAAUAGCUGGGCAUAACUGAUGUUGUUUUCCACUGAUCUGAAAUUGAAUGAGAAUAAUUAUUAGUGCACUGUUUGUUUUGGUGGUUGUACUGCAUUAACUGCAUGGUUUUUUGAGGUGACAGUUCACUACAGAACUCUGUCCUGUGCAGUUAUUUCAGUGAUUUUUUGUGCAUUGGAACUUGUGGUCAAAUCUGAAAUUCAAAGAUUAAUUAAAUGAAAAAAAAAAAGAAGCCCAAGAUGUUUUUUUAUAAUCUUUUUUUUCCU